CCAUCCGCUAUGGAAGUUCAGAUGGAGUCCAGUUCUUGUAGAAUGCUGAAAGGAGGCCGCUUAUUGUAGAAGCUCGAUUGUCGUGGAAGCUCGGAGUAGUGACCUGGUUGGUGGAGCCUGUCUCGUUGUAGAAGCUCGUCUGGAAUCCGGCUACAAAGAAGCUCAACUGAAGUUUACCUGUAAUAGAAGUUCGAAAAAAAUUUAUUUACAGUAGAGGCUCGAAUGAAAUUCACUUACAGUAGAGAUUCAGAGUAGACCGCCUGCAGUAGGAGUUCAGAGUAGACUGCUUGCGGUAAAAAUUCAGAGUAGAGAUUCGGCUGGUGGAGUCCUUCCGUUGUCGAAAUUCGUUUGGGAUCCAUCCACUGUAGGAGUUCGACUGAAAUUCGAUUCUCGUAGGAGCUCGGAUGGAAUCCGGAAGGUGGUCGACCGUCGUAAAAAUUUGGAUGGAGUCUGGUUACUGUAAAAAUCCCAUUGUCGGAGAAGCUCAGAUAUUGACGAAGUCCAGAAGAAGUUCGGAGUAGAGUCAUCCAUGACCGAAAGAAGUCUGGAAGGGAUUUAGAGAAUAGCCGAUCACUAUGAAAAAUCAGCUGAUAGCAGAGCUCAGAGGGCGUUUGGAGUAGUUUGAUAAAUGAAUGGAGAAGCUCAUUGUCGGAGAAGCCCGGAUGGUAUUAUGGAAGCUCGAACGGUCGAGGGAGUUCAGAAAGAUGCCACACAAGAUCGGAAGCCGAAAAAGCCCUGGAAGGGUUGGCCUUUUACAAACUUCGACUGGAGGUAUUUUAUACCCAACACCAGUCCCCCUACUUUCGAGUUUGGGUUUCGAAUGAAGAAAGUACAGAAAAAUUCUCACAACCAAAGUUACCUCCCUUGAUUU
rnacentral:lncRNA from 1 species